rnacentral:rRNA from 1 species
ACGAACGCUGGCGGCGUGCUUAACACAUGCAAGUCGAACGGAAAGGCCCUGCUUGCAGGGUACUCGAGUGGCGAACGGGUGAGUAACACGUGGGUGAUCUGCCCUGCACUUCGGGAUAAGCUUGGGAAACUGGGUCUAAUACCGGAUAGGAGCCAUCUUUAGUGUGGUGGUUGGAAAGUUUUUUCGGUGUAGGAUGAGCUCGCGGCCUAUCAGCUUGUUGGUGGGGUAAUGGCCUGCCAAGGCGGCGACGGGUAGCCGGCCUGAGAGGGUGUACGGCCACAUUGGGACUGAGAUACGGCCCAGACUCCUACGGGAGGCAGCAGUGGGGAAUAUUGCACAAUGGGCGCAAGCCUGAUGCAGCGACGCCGCGUGGGGGAUGAAGGCCUUCGGGUUGUAAACUCCUUUCGCUAGGGACGAAGCGUUUUUGUGACGGUACCUAGAUAAGAAGCACCGGCUAACUACGUG